rnacentral:misc_RNA from 1 species
UUGAAUGAAGCCUCUGGCAAGAGGGGUUGUAGCUGGCUUCCUUUAAGGGGGGGGGUAUGUGCACACCUGUCUGUCACUUGUUUCUUCAUUUCUCCACAUUGUGCACAUUUUGUAGGCAGCCUUGGUAAGGAUGUCUAUGUUUUAUAUAUAUAUGCAAUAUGCUUGUAAUGAAUGUUAUAAAAACAAUAAUA